AUACGGAGGAUGCAAGCGUUAUCCGGAUUUAUUGGGUUUAAAGGGUGCGUAGGCGGUUUGCUAAGCGGGAGGUGAAAUGCCGGCGCUCAACGUCGGAAGUGCCUCCCGAACUGGUGGACUGGAAUGACUCUGCCGUGGGAGGAAUGUGUAGUGUAGCGGUGAAAUGCUUAGAGAUUACACAGAACACCGAUUGCGAAGGCAUCUCACGAAGGGUUGAUUGACGCUGAGGCAAGAAAGCGUGGGGAUCAAACAGGAUUAGAUACCCUGGUAGUCCACGCAGUAAACGAUGAUGGCUAACCGCUGGUUUUUUCGGAUCAGUGGCCAAGCGAAAGCGAUAAGCCAUCCACCUGGGGAGUACGACCGCAAGGUUGAAACUCAAAGGAAUUGAUGGGG
rnacentral:rRNA from 1 species